rnacentral:rRNA from 1 species
GACGAACGCUGGCGGCGUGCCUAAUACAUGCAAGUAGAACGCUGAAGGAGGAGCUUGCUUCUCCGGAUGAGUUGCGAACGGGUGAGUAACGCGUAGGUAACCUGCCUGGUAGCGGGGGAUAACUAUUGGAAACGAUAGCUAAUACCGCAUAAUAGUAGAUGUUGCAUGACAUUUGCUUAAAAGGUGCAAUUGCACCACUACCAGAUGGACCUGCGUUGUAUUAGCUAGUUGGUGGGGUAACGGCUCACCAAGGCGACGAUACAUAGCCGACCUGAGAGGGUGAUCGGCCACACUGGGACUGAGACACGGCCCAAACUCCUACGGGAGGCAGCAGUAGGGAAUCUUCCGCAAUGGACGCAAGUCUGACGGAGCAACGCCGCGUGAGUGAAGAAGGUUUUCGGAUCGUAAAACUCUGUUGUUAGAGAAGAACAAGUGCUAGAGUAACUGUUAGCGCCUUGACGGUAUCUAACCAGAAAGCCACGGCUAACUACGUGCCAGCAGCCGCGGUAAUACGUAGGUGGCAAGCGUUGUCCGGAUUUAUUGGGCGUAAAGCGAGCGCAGGCGGUUCCUUAAGUCUGAUGUGAAAGCCCCCGGCUCAACCGGGGAGGGUCAUUGGAAACUGGGGAACUUGAGUGCAGAAGAGGAGAGUGGAAUUCCAUGUGUAGCGGUGAAAUGCGUAGAUAUAUGGAGGAACACCAGUGGCGAAGGCGACUCUCUGGUCUGUAACUGACGCUGAGGCUCGAAAGCGUGGGUAGCAAACAGGAUUAGAUACCCUGGUAGUCCACGCCGUAAACGAUGAGUGCUAAGUGUUGGAGGGUUUCCGCCCUUCAGUGCUGCAGUUAACGCAUUAAGCACUCCGCCUGGGGAGUACGACCGCAAGGUUGAAACUCAAAGGAAUUGACGGGGACCCGCACAAGCGGUGGAGCAUGUGGUUUAAUUCGAAGCAACGCGAAGAACCUUACCAAGUCUUGACAUCCUUUGACCACUCUAGAGAUAGAGCUUUCCCUUCGGGGACAAAGUGACAGGUGGUGCAUGGUUGUCGUCAGCUCGUGUCGUGAGAUAUUGGGUUAAGUCCCGCAACGAGCGCAACCCUUAUUACUAGUUGCCAGCAUUGAGUUGGGCACUCUAGUGAGACUGCCGGUGACAAACCGGAGGAAGGUGGGGAUGACGUCAAAUCAUCAUGCCCCUUAUGACUUGGGCUACACACGUGCUACAAUGGAUGGUACAACGAGCAGCGAACUCGCGAGGGUAAGCGAAUCUCUUAAAGCCAUUCUCAGUUCGGAUUGUAGGCUGCAACUCGCCUACAUGAAGCCGGAAUCGCUAGUAAUCGCGGAUCAGCACGCCGCGGUGAAUACGUUCCCGGGUCU